AGCAGUCGCGGUAAUUCCAGCUCCAAUAGCGUAUAUUAAAGUUGUUGCAGUUAAAAAGCUCGUAGUUGAAUUUCGGGAUCAAAUUGUCGGUCGUGCCUCGGUACGCACUGGUAUUAUUGGUUCCUACCUUCUGAAGAACCGCGAUGUCAUUAAUUUGGUGUCAUGGGGAAUCAGGACUGUUACUUUGAAAAAUUAGAGUGUUUAAAGCAGGCUUACGCUUGAAUACAUUAGCAUGGAAUAAUGAAAUAGGACGUUUGAUUCUAUUUUGUUGGUUUCUAGGAUUGACGUAAUGAUUAAUAGGGAUAGUUGGGGGCAUUAGUAUUCAAUUGUCAGAGGUGAAAUUCUUGGAUUUAUUGAAGACUAACUACUGCGAAAGCAUUUGCCAAGGAUGUUUUCAUUAAUCAAGAACGAAAGUUAGGGGAUCGAAGACGAUCAGAUACCGUCGUAGUCUUAACCAUAAACUAUGCCGACUAGGGAUCGGAUGAUGUUAAUUUUUAAUGACUCAUUCGGCGCCUUACGG
rnacentral:rRNA from 1 species